UUUAUCAAUACAUAGAUACAAAUGAGAUAAAAUUGUAUAAUAUUUGUUAUAAAAUACAUUUUUUUAAAAAAUUUUAUUCUUUUUAGAUGAAUUAAGACCACAACAUGGGUGAUUAGACAAUGUUUUAUACCCCAGAAACUUUAAUUUGGAUGCAAUUAUACAACAAAUUAUAGUGGCUCAGAAAAGUUGUGGAUCUAGCGAUACUGUCAUUAACAAUGAAGAGGUGUCCUUAUAUUCUAGUUUAAAAAAAAAAAUAGGGUUUUGUGAAAAAAUGUUGAUGUAAGUAUUCUUAUUUCAAUGAUGUACUCAUAUUACAAUUGAUUCAAAUUAAUUAAUUUAUUGUUUUGUUAUAGCCUUGUAUUUAAAAGAAAAAAAGGCGCAAAUGUUAAAAUGGUGAAUUUUUUAGACAAUAUAACUAAAAUUUGAAAAAGAAAUUAAUGGCAAUAUCAAUAUUUUUAAACAGUGGAAAUAAUAACAAAUAUGAACAUGCAGCACCACUUAAAGGACCUUUGGAAGUACUCUUUUAUGACCUCAAAUGAUAUAUGAAAAAAAGAGUUCUUAGGAAGUCUAUGUCAAAUUUAAAAACAAGAACAAGUUAAAAGAAUUAUGAUUAUUUCACAUUCCCAAAAAGUCCUA